rnacentral:tRNA from 1 species
GCCGGGGUGGCCGAGUGGCACAGGCGGCGGGCUGCAGACCCGCUUACCCGGGUUCGAAUCCCGGCCCCGGCUCCA